GACGAACGCUGGCGGCGUGCUUAACACAUGCAAGUCGAACGGAAGGGCCCUGCUUUUGUGGGGUGCUCGAGUGGCGAACGGGUGAGUAACACGUGAGUAACCUGCCCUUGACUUUGGGAUAACUUCAGGAAACUGGGGCUAAUACCGGAUAGGAGCUCCUGCUGCAUGGUGGGGGUUGGAAAGUUUCGGCGGUUGGGGAUGGACUCGCGGCUUAUCAGCUUGUUGGUGGGGUAGUGGCUUACCAAGGCUUUGACGGGUAGCCGGCCUGAGAGGGUGACCGGGCACAUUGGGACUGCGAUACGGCCCAGACUCCUACGGGAGGCAGCAGUGGGGAAUAUUGCACAAUGGGCGGAAGCCUGAUGCAGCAACGCCGCGUGCGGGAUGACGGCCUUCGGGUUGUAAACCGCUUUCGCCUGUGACGAAGCGUGAGUGACGGUAAUGGGUAAAGAAGCACCGGCUAACUACGUG
rnacentral:rRNA from 1 species